GUCCCUGUCCAGUGCAGUGUGCAUUGGACUUCUAAUCCAAAGGUGGUGGGUUUGAGUCCCACCUGGGAUG